UUCAGGUCGGCCGGUCCCUUGAGAUCGUAACCCGCGUUGAUCGCCGCCCGUGCAACGCCGAGCGCCAGUGCGUCGGUCUCGUACACGCGUGGCGU
rnacentral:sRNA from 1 species